ensembl:lncRNA
GGGUAUCGCUUCUCGGCCUUUUGGCUAAGAUCACGUGCAGUGUCCCUGACAGUGCUGCACUUGAUCAGAGAAGCGAUCGCAGGCCGGAGGGCGCCCGGGAGUUGUGCUAUUUAUUUUUGUUGAAAAUUAUUAUUCUUGUAUUGUUUCACUAUUGUUUUUGUCCUGGGUUAGGUGGUGGUUCUGGUGGUGGACUACAGGUGCACCAGCACCUGUAGGGAAAUGGGGGGAUAAGUGGCAGCACGGGCCCUCCAUUUGGAGUGGCUCCAAUUUUAACAAGAACGACGGUGUUGCCAUUUUAAUCAAGACCCCACAGGUGGUGGUGAAGGGGAGCACGGUGGUGGAUCGGGAACCAGUAUGUCCAGUGCGCGGGCUCGCUAUAGGUGAGCCCACAACGGUUUGGCGCAACGUGGCCCACCCUGCUCUCCUGAAUCGGCAUCGGGACCUGUCCUGGAUGGUCGCCCACGAGAUCCUCCCGGUCAGGGCCGUUAUGCACUCACGGGGCAUGGCGAGGACAUCCGCGUGCCCCCGACCAGGCUGCGGCCAAGAAGAGUCGGUGAGGCACAUGCUCUGGGAGUGCAGAGCCGCCAGGGACCUGUGGAAGGAAGCAGGCCCCCUGAUCACCUCGUGUCUGCCAGCAGGGGAGGACCUAACACCUCAGCUCGUGCUGUAUGGGGUGGGCCGAAGGCCCAUUUCAUCGAAGACCUUCACCAAGCUCUGGCCCACCCUCACGUGCCUGAAGGAAGCACUGUGGUCCUCCCG